AUUGAACGCUGGCGGCAGGCCUAACACAUGCAAGUCGAACGAGUGGCGGACGGGUGAGUAAUGUCUGGGAAACUGCCUGAUGGAGGGGGAUAACUACUGGAAACGGUCGCUAAUACCGCAUACCAUCGGAUGUGCCCAGAUGGGAUUAGCUAGUAGGUGGGGUAAAGGCGCACCUAGGCGACGAUGACUAGCUGGUCUGAGAGGAUGAGCAGCCACACUGGAACUGAGACACGGUCCAUACUCCGACGGGAGGCAGCAGGGGGGAAUAUUGCACAAUGGGCGCAAGCCUGAGGCAGCCAGGCCGCGUGUAUGAAGAAGGCCUUCGGGUUGUAAAGUACUUUCAGCGGGGAGGCGUUACCCGCAGAAGAAGCACCGGCUAACUCCGUGACAGCAGCCGCGGUAAUUC
rnacentral:rRNA from 1 species